CCAAGGAGUCUAACAUGUGCGCGAGUCGCUCGGUCUUGAUUAGGCCAGAGAGGCGCAAUGAAAGUAAAGUUGAUUGAGUUACGAUCCUUAUGCGGUCACUCCUCGUGGGUGACGGUAAGGCGCAGUAACAGCCCGCUAAUUUCGCCUAUUGACGAUCUGGCGGAGUUGUAGCGUACACGUUGGUACCCGAAAGAUGGUGAACUAUGCCUGGGCAAGACGAAGCCAGAGGAAACUCUGGUGGAGGUCUGUAGCGAUUCUGACGUGCAAAUCGAUCGUCAGACCUGGGUAUAGGGGCGAAAGACUAAUCGAACCAUC
rnacentral:rRNA from 1 species